AUACCCAUGGCUGAUCAGCCUGUUGAAAAUCCUUCUCACCACCAUUGAGCAAAGAUGCCAAAAACAGGACAGGACCCUUCACAUCCUUGCCUAAUAUGCCCUGUCUACAGGAAAUACUUAACAACAGGAAGUCAGUGGGCUCCUGGGAAAUGUAGUUCUUUUUUAGGGUAACAGAUUUUUAAUUAUACAAUAAGCUUAAAUAAUAAAUGUGUAAUGGUGUGGAGUAGUAAAAAAAAAAACUGUUGUGGGAAAUUGGAAUGUUGGAACUGCAGUUGGAAACUGAACAAGGACUUCUGGGAAAUUCUCCUGAGGAGGGGGUCUUGAGUGCUGAGACAAAGAAAGGAGUGGAAGGAGGAGCUAUUUCUCUGGGUCAUUUUCAAGACACCUUUGGGGAUUUCUUAAUAUUGCUGAUUCUUGUUUAAAACAUCACUGGUUCCUGUCAAGAAACCUAAUUUUUUCAAAGACUUUCAUUUCCAUAAGCUAUUGAGAUAUUGGACUCAAAUUGAUUUAAUAAGAUGCAAGAUCACAGGAGAAGGGACCUUUUCAUUUUCUACAUGGGCAUUCCCAAGCAUCCGUAAGAGUUUUUUAAACAAGAUUCCUUCAAGUUUUCCAGGAUCACUGCUGCUUGGGGUAAAUUUAGAGGUUUGACUCAUAUAUUAUCCUUAUGGUUGCCAGGGAUUAAUUCAAAUCCCAUUAAAAAUUCUCAAGUCAGUUCAGGAAUUUUAUGGUGGCUUAAUUAAUAUAGAAGGAAGGAAUUAAGAAGAAAGAGGGAAAAGGGUAUAAGAUUUCUCCGGCCUAACCUGAGCCAAGGGGAGUUCAGAGACCUUCUAGCCACAAGGCCUCCUCCAAGAUGAGGGGCCUCCUAGGAGAAUAGUGUUUUUAGGAAAGGUAAAGGAAAAAAAGGAAUCAGCCUAAACUCCAUGAGAGCUCAGGGAAGAUGCCUCACCUGAACCACGCUACUAAGCUUCUCCCAGUUACCUCAUCAAGGACACUCACCAUGCAAACACGGACAAUAGCUUCAGCCAUGCCAAGACACCCAGCAUGCUGCCACCAGCCACCUCUCUGCCAUGAAAAAGAGAGCCACCUCUCCUCCAAAAGAGAGCCACCUCUCCGCCAAAAGAGACCGAAGUGAGGAAGUGACACAAAAUAUAUAGACCAUUUUUUACAUCACUUCCCGAGUCUCACAUGUACCAAUGGUAGCUUAAGCUUGACUUAAGACAGGCCAGGGGGUCUGUCAGUUGUUUCUGAUUUGUCAUUUGCACAUGUCUGUCAUAGGCCAUCCUUCUCAACAUUUAAUCUUCAAGUAGGGGUGUAGACAUUCCUGUUUGUUAGACUAAAUAGGGUGGAGUAAAUCUAAAAUUCACACUGCAUUGUCACUAAUGGAGAACUCCAUUGGGUAAUGUAGUUUUAGGGGUUCAAGAAUUUCUAAUUAUACAUAACCCCCCUGUGAUCCUGGUAGGAGACCAAUUGCCCUGAAAGGAUCAUAGAAAUUUAACUUGUAAAUUGCAAUAUUUUGUGGAUAAAAGGAAAAGAGAACAAAAUUAAUGAUUACUAAGCUGAUAAAAAGCCAAUUUGGGGGCAGUCCCUUUUGGCAUAAGAGCAUAAAUUCAAAACAAAAGCAUUUCAAACCCCAUAGUUCAAUUCACAUCACAAAGUUCACUGUGGAUCUUCUGGUGCAGCAUGUGGUCUCUGCAGUCAUCUUCAUUGUGCCUCCUAGAUGCUGGGAGGUAGCAAGUUUCUUAUCCUAAAAUUGCUCAAAUUCAAAUCAAAGUUCACAACAAUAAUUUGGUCCCCCUGAGAUGAAUAAUAACAAACACAGGGAUCAUCAGGAAUGCAUGGCUGAGCUAUGAGGUAUAUGAAUCAAUUUGCAAAAGAAAAUCAAAAACAUAAAAAACAUCCAAAUAAAAGAGAAAAAUAAGUUGUGGAUGCAAUACAAAACGCAAGUCAUAUGUCUAAAAAAUCUAAGUAAAGGAAAAACAAAUCUAUAACAGGUCCUUGAAUCAGGGCCCAAUUAAAAUGACUUAAGCAAUUAUGAACUUACCCAACCAGAAGCCAGGAUUAUAGAAAGUUUGCCACACUAUGAAAGACAGAAAAGGGAUUAGAUAUAAGCAGCAAAUGGGAGGCAGAAAGGCAGCAAAAAUGAGGUGCUUGAUAGAAUGUGGUUCAGAGGAAGUUCAGCCUCUGACAGAUUUCAAAAGUGACUUAACCUAGAAUCCCAAACUAGUUCAAGUCCUCUUGUCUUGGCUCAAAUUUAUAUCACUCCCACUGGGAUCUGGUCACUUUGACCUUGUGCUUGUAAAGAUUAAAAUUAAUAUCCAGUACUCCAAGUAUUAUAUUUAAUAAUGUUUAUUAAAUAUUUAUCUUGAAGUAUAAGGAAGAAAGGCUAGCAAAAGUUUUUAAAGGGAAAUUACAAUAAUUUGGGGAUAAGAGGAAAAAAAUGGAAAAGGAAUAAAACCAAUAAUAGGUGCAUUGACAAAAAGUCAAUUAGGGGGCAGUCCCCUUUGGCAUAAGAGUGUACAUUCAAAACAAAAGCAUUUUAAACCUCCCCCUCCCAGGUUCAAUUUUGCCAUAUCUCAAAGUUCACUCUGGAUCUUUUGGUACAGCAUGUGGUUUCUGCAGGUAUCUUCACAGCACCUUCUAGAUUCUGGGAGGUAGUCUCUUGUUCUAAAUUUGGUUCAAAUUCAAGUCAAAGUUCACAACAAUAAUGUAGUCCCCCCUGAGGAAAAUAAUAAUACAUUCCCACCUGAGAAGGAUAGGAAUAGGUAUGGUAGCAGAAGGAGAUUUCUUUGUAGUUGGGGCUGGUCAUGAGGUGGGAGAAAUGGCAGGAGAGGAUGGAGGGUUAGAAGAAGGAUCAGGGGAGGUAAGAUAAGUCAGGAGUUCCAGAGCAUGAGAGAUGUUGCAGAGUACAAGAGUGAAGGGUCUGCACCUGAUGUAUAAGAGAGGGGUAUCUCAUCUCCAUUUCAGGAGAAAAAAUAAUUGUCUUCUAUUUUUGGUUCAGGAGCAGGCUCACAAUAUUCAGACUUGUUUUGGGUGGGAUCAGUAUUUUUCAUUGGGUCAUGUAGGUGUUUGAAUUUUUUUUAUUUAAUUUUCUUGUCGGCCUGCAUUUCUACUUUAAUCACUCUGAUAAACACAUCUUUUGUCUUAAGAAUAAAGAUCAAGGGGAAAAUGUCUUAGGAGUACAAGGAAGAGGAGAGGAUUUAGAAUUUUACAUGCUUCUAAUUGGGCAAAAAACAAAAGGCUUUCAUGCACGGUAACAUUUAGGCUGCUUAGCAUUUUGAUCAAAAAGGGAAACAAUGUAUAUUUAUUUUUAUUGACUUAUUUUUCAAUUGUUAUUAUAAGGGGUGGGGUAGAAGAUGAGGGUAUUUAGCUUAUUUAAUUUUUUAUGAUUUUAUUGGAUUUAUGUUUUUUAAAAAGGGAAAAAUAUUUUUAAAUUCUUUUAAAAUUAUUUAUUUAUUUAUUGCUGUCAUCUAGUGGUAGCAAAAAACCACUGUAGCUAAGCAGGAAAAGGGGGAAAAAAAUAGAAGAGACAGAAAAGAAAAAAAAAGGAAGAGAGAAGAAAAAAAUAGUGCUCAAUAUUGACUUCUAGUGGCCAAGAGGCAGCACUACAAGUGGGAGGGUUAGGGGUGUGGUUUUUAGGGUAAGGGGUGUGGUUAGGACCUGCAAGAAACCAAAAGGGAGGAUAUGACUACAAAAUCUGGUGGAGACCAAGAGAUGGUAGUAAGGCAAAUUUGGUAAAGCAAGGAGGGGUAGGAGUUAAACUGGGGUGGUUUAAAAGAGGGCUAAGGCCCUCCCAGUCAAGGCAAAGAGCCUAGUGGAACCUAGGGGGCAAUCAGCUAUCCAGCAGGGAAAGAGCCUUCCCUCCCAUGCUGUCUGGGGAAAGGGAAGCUUAUAUUCAUCAGCUGGAAUGGAGAUCAGGGCAGCAGAAGCGGUAGUAGAAGCAGCAGAAGCAGCAGCAUCGUGGGGGUGGGGGCCAGGCUGGAACUAGCUCUGGCUAAGGAAAAAUAAAACCCAACAGAGGCUUUGGGCCUUGGGUAGGAGAAGCCAAGCCAGGUGUGACUAAGCUUCAGCAGCUGGAGGAUGCAGCAGCACCAGGGUGGGCCUGGGGUGCUGCAGCUGAGGUAGUAGUUUGAGGCAGAGGGGAAGCCUGCCGCUUAGCCAGGGUUUGGCCAAGCUGCAGGCAGGAAUGGUCAAUCAGGCUGAUAGGGCUGCUCUCCAGGACAUGGGCAGGGAGUGGCUUCUCCACCAAAUCCCAUAAAUUAAGGCAACUGGAUACAUCAGGGCAGUCAGGGUGUAAAAAUACUCAAAUACUCGCAGCUGCCAGAGGCUUGGAAGGCGGUAGGAGAGCUAGAGGAAUGGGCUACAGCUGGGCAGCUGGAGAGAGGGUUUGAAAACUACCAGUAGAAAAGCAGCUUUGGUUGCAAACCAGUAGCAGUUUUAAGCCACCAUGGUUGCUUGGCUGUAAACGGGCUGCCAGCUUUUAAGAAAAGGAACAAGAAAAGCCAAGUUCUAGAAUCUCUGCGUGCUCACCAAAAUGUAAAGAUUAAAAUUAAUAUCCAUUACUCCAAGCAUUAUAUUUAAUAAUGUUUAUUAAAUAUUUAUCUUGAAGUAUAAGGAAAUAAGGCUAGCAAAAACCAAGAGCCAUUCUUCCCUCUCUCCUCCACCAUGGAACCAGAGAAAGAGUGUGGGCGGAAACAGGAACUCAAAACUCCCCCCCAGGUAAGGAGACACACAAACAGGAAAGGGAAAAGGGGAUUGUGGAAAAUAUGGUCUCUAAGGUUCAAGAUUCUAAAUCAAUACGUGUUCCAUAGGCACUGUGCAGGUACUCUGUACUUCUUUAGCACUGUACAGUGGCUCUUUUUGUAUUCCUUCUCUUCUCUAAUCUGACAAAAUCAUUAAGCAAAGUCUCAUAAGUCUUUUAAACAGUCAAUGGCAUUAUAUGUAUAGUCUAAAGCUUUUGGAGUAUGCAUUAUUAUUAAAAUAGUAGAUAAUGCACAUUCAAAAAAAGUACCAAAGUCCCCACAAAGAGGGCUUGGGAGGAGUUAAAGCCCACUUAAAUACAAUCACACAAAUGAGAGGACUCAGGAAAAGAAAAAAGGAUUCUAGGUAAUAAAGAAAGGAAUUUUGGGUAAUGUAGUUUUAGGGGUUCAAGAAUUUCUAACUAUACACUUUGGAUACAUAUUCAGAAUGUAAACCUCACUAUCCUUUAGUAUAUUUUCUUUUAUGUUCUGAUCCCAUCCCCACCCCUAAAACAAAAUCAUCUUUUGGCUAUAGUGAAGAUCCCCUUCAUACUGAGGAAAUCUGAUCUUUAGAAGAAAGCCAUGUUGUUCAUUCCAGAAGGCAUCUUGGUAGGCAUCUAGAACUUGUCUUCUGCUGCUACACUUCCAAAGCCUAGGACCACCUUUGUGCAAUGGGAAAAUGAAAAGUGUAAUGGAUGGGGAAAUGGAGCCACCCACUACAUAUAUUUUGAGAAUAGAGAGAGAAGUGGAAUGGAGUCAGAAGAUGGAGAAGUGGGAGAGAUUAGUCCUCCCCUCUCCCUAGUGAGGACAGCUCAAGUUGUCUGUGGAAAGAACACACUAGGUCCCUUCAGAGAUUGAGUUGAAUGUAAAAUCAAGGGCUGAAACUGAUUCUCCCUUCUUGAGGAGAAAGUACAGUCUUACUCCCCAAGCUUCAGAUUUCUCUCCCUGGAUAUUAUGAGGCAGACACUUGAUCUAAAGAAUAACUAUUUAUUCUUAAAGGACACAUAGAAGACAGGAUGAAUAAAUAGGGUUGUGGAGUAAGGAAAUGGAAAGUAGGAAAACCCUAAGAGCUAACAACUGACCCCCUCCCCCAAAUCCUGAAGGAUCAGGCUGCUUGCCUGACCCUCCUUGGUCAGUUGUGAGAGCUGUCCUGAUUUCUAUCUUCCCUAGUUGUACUGUAAAGUUCAAGGACAAAUUUAGGGGAUGGAGAGGAAAGUCUUCUUUGUUUGUAUGGCUUUAUAAUAAAAGUCCUAUCCACUCCCUUUCUCAUUAGCUGGAGCCAAGGGAUUUGGGUUCACAGAGAGAUGGUUAAUGCUCAGAAGGUCCUCUGCCUCCGAGAUUUCUCUUAAAUCAACCACCCUUGAGGAGUUCCCAAAGAUAAGUGAAGUAACUGCUUUUGAAUAUUCUCAGCUCUUCUGUUCUUUCCCAGAAUUCUCUGUCUUCCCUUGCUCCUCCCCCACUUGGGUUGCUUUUCUUGCAUACUGAAUAUGAUUUUCCUCUCUUAGAAAGGUCUGGACAUUACACAGGGACCUAAAUUCUGAUAGCAGAAACAGGGAAAGGCACAAAUUCUGUGAUUUCACUCUAUGUGAAACUCCCUCAGCCAAUGAAGGUUGGCAUUUCCUCUGUAACUAACUAUGAUCAUAGAUGUCUAUGGGUCAUCAGUUGUGGUCACAUAGCCAGGAUGUGUCAAACAUGAAAUUUGAAACCAAUUCUUCCUGACUUAAAGGCUGGUUCUCUACUAACUAUGCUACCUGCAUUCUUACAUAUGUAUAGAAUAAGUUGAAAUCAAUCUUGACCUGUUGGGUUAGUUUAAUUUAAUUUAACUCAGUUUUAUUAAUGUGUUUUGGUUUUAUGUUAUAGUUAUUCACAGAUUUCUAUCCACAACUCACCUUACAAGAUGAAUGGUCAAUAAGAUUAGCUAAAAGGUACAAAGCACUCUCUCUAUUUUUUUUUUUAAACUCUUGCCUUCUGUUUUAAAAUUGAUAGUAUCACUUCCAAGGCAGAGGAGCAAUAAGGCCUAGGCAAUGGUGGCUAUGUGACUUCGCCAGGGUCAUACAGAUAGGAAGUAUCUGAAGCCAGAUUUUAACCUAGAACUUCCCAUCUUCAGGUCUGAUUCUAUCCACAUAGCCAUCUAAGUAACCCAAUUCUUAGAGUUAUUUGUAAAUAUUUGCUGUUAGGCCCUUGUAUAAAAGAAAUUCAGUUAAGCAAAAUUAAGUUCAUAGUACACUUUACUGACAUUGACAGUUCCCUAUUUCUCCAACAAAGGGAAGAUAGUUGAUUUCUUGUUCUCUUUUCUGAGGCCAAAAUAUGACCCCUUUAUUUUAUUUUAAUUGGUUUAAAUUUUUCUCCCUAAAAUGACAUAUUUAUUAUGUUUGGUCAUUUUUUAUACAUUCAUUUUCAAAUUUAUCAUUACUUUUUCCCAUAUCCUAUGUUUCUUAUAAUAGGAAAUUAAAAAGAAAGAAGACAUAAAUUAUGUUUCAACACAUUAUAUAUGGCUUAAAGUCUAUGUAAAAUUCUUCAAUAAUCCCAUAAUAAAACAGAAAAAAGAGAGGAAGGUGAAUUUCUUUUACAGGAUCCAAGUCGGUGACAAUCAUUACAUAGUAUUCAUUUUUUGUAUUUUUAUUGUUCCUUCCAAUAAAAUAAAUAUACUGUA